ensembl:lncRNA LOC120099884 uncharacterized LOC120099884
GGGUUUCAAAGCAGUACGGGGGAUAAAGUGUCCCAGAGAGACUCAGGACACGUUUGAACACAAGCCCAGAACACAGAUGGAAUCUGAAUCGUAUUGGCACAGGCCCCGGUCAUGGGUUGCUGCCAGAACAUUGAGUGCCUGCUAAAGUGAGAAGAUGGUGUUGGAUCUCCUGGAACUGGGGUUACAGAGAGCUAAAGUAUGGGUGCUGGGAAUCCAACCCAGGUCCCCCGGAAGAGCAGUUGAGCCUUUUCAUCAGCUCCCUAUGAGUGACUCGUGUUUUGAGCGAAUGCUCACCUUGCUGGUGGCACUAUUUGGAGAAGUCAUGGAGCUUUUAAGAGGUAUGGAAUAGCUGAAGGACGUAAGCCACUAUGGAUUGGGUUUGGAUGGUUAAAAUAAAUGUUGUUUGGACCCCCAUCUUUCCUUCUUUGGUUUCCUUCUGCUGCAUGCUCUCACUGCCUUGACUUCCCCACUUGUAAUGAAUGAAUUCACUGAAACAGAGAGCCAAGAUCAAUCUUUCCUCUCUGAGGUUGUUUCUCAGUUAUUGGGGUCACAACAAUAUAAAUGUAACAAUCACAGCCUCCAACUUCUUAGAUGAAAGCUGCCCGCCAGGAAGAAUACUUCCUUUGGACUUAGAAAUCUAUAGGCUUCGACUUAUCAUCUAUUUUUUGUGUUUAUUUGUUACAUCAACUAGAGUUGCCCAAACCAAUGCUGAUUAAGUUAACAGUAGGAAUCAGAGAGAGACUUCCAUGAGACAAGAGUGUACUGUUUUCAGGGACCCUCAGUUCCACAGACAUUUCUGAGGUCUUGGGUUGGUGUAUGUUUGGGUGUAUUUGUGUCAUCCUCUAGCAUUGUGUUCUAAUAGUUAUGUUUUUGUGAAAUGUACAAAAGAAAGUACAAAUCCCAUGGAUUUAUCAGAGCCACUGUCUCCUUGCCUUCCAUAACCUUCUACUUUGUGUUCAAUGAUAUUGGGCAGGCCGCACAUGAUUUUAGGAUCUGGAUAAUGAGAUGUUGAGUACAAAUACAUUUAGUUUUAACUUUGUUCUGAUCAUAGCCCCCUCUGUUCUACUUCUUGUUCCCCCUCACUAAACCCUCCAUUGUUUACUCUCCCUCUCCUCAGAGAAGGGGAGGACCCCCUUGGGUACUACCCUGCCCUGGGAUUUCCAGUCCCAGCAGGACAAAGCACAUCCUCUCCCACUGAGGCUCAACCAAGAAGUCAAGUUAGGGGAAGGGGUUGGCAGGCAGCAGAGUCAGGGACAGCCCUACUCCAUUAUUGGGGGACUCACAUGAAGACCAAGGUGCACAUCUGCUUCAUAUGUGUAGAGUGCUUGGGUUCAGCCCCUAAAUGUUCUUCAGUUAGUAGUUUGGUCUUUGUGAGCUCCCAUGGUCUCAGGUUAGCUGAAUCUGUACGUCUUCUUGUGGCAUCCUUGACCCCUCCAGCUCCCUCAAUUCUACUGCUCUUUCUUCCACACUUUUCUUCCACAAGACUCCCUGAGCUACUCCUGGCGUGAGUCUCU